rnacentral:lncRNA from 1 species
GCUCCGCAGGGCGUAGCUUUAUACGACCGCAGAGGUUGAACCCUGAACGGUUGGGGCAAGUAUGGACACAACAUUCAAGCUGGAUUCAGCUCUAAAUUUUGAUUGUGAUUAAAUAGUUGACACAGCAUAGGUUUCUGACACAGAAUGAAUGUGGUCUAAUGAACUUAAAAUAUUUUUUUUUUGCCUUUGAGCAAUUCACUAUGCUGUUGAAUAUUAAUCCUCUCAAAAAAAUGUUUGAAGAAAUUUUCUUUUUAUUUAUGAAAUCUGAAAUGAGAAAAAUUCAACCCCCCCCCCCCCCAUUUCAUUUUCACAUCCCUCUUUCCCUUUUUCCAAAACUGAUUUCAAUUCAAAUUUCUAAUGGAGUUUGCAACAAUAACUACUCAUUUAAAUACAUCAUAAAAUAUCAAAAUGUAAAAUAAAGUGCUU